rnacentral:lncRNA from 1 species
GCGGGAAGCGUUCCGACAGAUCAAGGACUUGUUCCUACAGGGAGCCUACGACACGGUCCGCUGGGAGUUCGGCACCUGCCAGCCGCUGUCAGACGAGAAGGACCUGACCCAGCUCUUCAUGUUCGCCCGGAAUGCCUUCACCGUGCUGGCCAUGAUGGACUACCCCUACCCCACUGACUUCCUGGGUCCCCUCCCUGCCAACCCCGUCAAGGUGGGCUGUGAUCGGCUGCUGAGUGAGGCCCAGAGGAUCACGGGGCUGCGAGCACUGGCAGGUGCCCUUCCCCCGGCCCCAGAUGGGCAAGUGUGGAGACCCCAGGCUUGGCUUGGGUCCUGGGGCCGGGUGGGGCGAGGAUCCGCAGCCCGGCCAGGGGCUUUGCCUCCUGCCCCAGGGCUGUGGUGGGGUGGACAGCACGACCUUCCCAGAAACCCUGGGGGAGGCAGGGGCCGUCCCUGGGGACCCUCUCAGCACUGGCUGUAGCCAGGCCCAGCUUGGUGGGUGCUGCCCAAGGGGCCCCUGGGGUCCCCAGCAUGGAGGGCAACAGAGGGCAGCAGGCCCCACCCUGCCCCGUGGAGAGCGGGGGGGCCCUCAACAGUCAGGCCCGGGGCUGGCAGCACAGACACCGCCGACCUCCAAGCAGG